GAAACCGAGAAAUACCGAAAAAGUUGGUUUGGUUUUUGAUAAAUACCGAAUUUACCGAAAUUCUAAUUAUUUAAAAACUUAUAUUUCUAAAAACACACAGACUAAUAAUCUUAUCUCACGUUUUCAAUUGUAUAUACCAUUUAGUAAAAAACAAGACAAUGAAUAGAAAAAUUCAACUAUACUUGGUAGCAUUCGGGUCUCAAUUAAAGCGAUCAACUUUAAUUCAAUGUUACUUGUUAUAUAAAAACGCUCUUACCUACCCGUCUUAGUCGAUUCAUCACACACACACAUAGACAAACCCACUUAGAUGACAUGUAACCGCCCAUGUAAAAAUUUAGGAAUGUUUUUACCUCUCUUGAUGAUAGGGCUCCCCAUAGGAAGCACAAGCGUAAAUAGGGUUAGCCGCCUUGAUCAAGGCCAAAACAUUAUCAAAAAUACCUAAUUUUUCUACCAUAGUCUUAUUUCACUAUAUUGAUCACAUUAUAGUUCACAAGGUUUUUGAAAAUUUUGCUUCCUCUUUGUAGUUGGUUCACAAAGAUGUACAUAUGCAUAUAACUUACUAAAUAAGUUAUACCACAUUACCAGGCAUGUUGUGACACGACCCACCCCGAAUUUCACCCUGAAACCCGGAGUAAGUCGUGCGGGGACCACCUCCAAGGAAAAUUUACUGAAAAGAUUAAGAAAAUCUCCCUUGCAUAUGGACAACCCUAACUCGAAAAUUUCAUAUUACACUCUUAAUUCAACACUUCCAAACAUCACAUAAUUAUCCUUUAGAAAUUCUACACAUAAUAUACAAUAAUCCCAAAAUAUUCAGAGCUACUAAACACAAGCGGAAGCAAGAAGACACGAGUAGGUUGAAUAGGUAACCUACUGACGAAAACUGGCAGAAAUGCGGGUGACUAUGCCUCGUCUCCUACUAGAUCCAACCCGAACUCUGCAGACUGGGCAAUUUAAAAUGAAAGGCCCAGGGGAAAACAUUUAAUAACGUUAGAGUGAGUGGACAAAAUAAAAUAAUAAAUAAAAUAUUUAUGUUUCCCCAAAUUAAUUUCUAAGGAAAAAUCGAAUGCAUGCCGCAAGCGAUAAAACUUUUAUCCCAUAAAAUAUCGAGCCUCUCAGACUCUAUAAAAUAUAUGUAUGUAUUUACACUCGUCCAUACUCCCUAUAUAAAUUCAUGGGUCUAUAUAGGGCUACUACGCUCGCGUCCAA
rnacentral:lncRNA from 1 species